UGGGUAGUUCAAUGGUAGAGUAACGGUCUCCAAAACCGUCUGUUGCAGGUUCGAGUCCUGUCCC
rnacentral:tRNA from 1 species